rnacentral:rRNA from 1 species
CCAAGUGCAUGCCUCAGUACGGCGAGUGAGCGGCAAAAGCUCAAAUUUGGAAUCUGGCACUUUCAGUGUCCGAGUUGUAAUUUGAAGACCGGUGCUUUGGGAGCAGGAGGUGUCGAAGUUCCUUGGAACAGGACGUCGCAAAGGGUGAGAUCCCGUGCGAUACCUCUUCUUGCUUCUUUGUAAAGCCUGGUCGAAGAGUCGAGUUGUUUGGGAAUGCAGCUCUAAGUGGGUGGUAAAUUCCAUCUAAAGCUAAAUACUGGCGAGAGACCGAUAGCGAACAAGUACAGUGAUGGAAAGAUGAAAAGAACUUUGAAAAGAGAGUGAAAAAGUACGUGAAAUUGUUGAAAGGGAAGGGCUUGAGAUCAGACUUGGUUACCUCGGUGACCAGGCCAGCAUCAGGUGGCGGGGUGACAUAACGCGGAAGGAAUGUGGCUUUGCUUCGGUGAAGUGUUAUAGCCUUCUGAAAUAUCACCACCAUCGCCUGAGGACUGCGCUUCGGCAAGGAUGUUGGCAUAAUGAUCUUAAGCCGCCCGUCUUAAACACCGGGAAAACAAGGUUAAAUGCCGCCCGUCUUGAACCACCGGACUCCCAAUUUACAUCUGCUAUAAAAACUUCGCCAAAGUCUCCUCCCUCUCUUUUUCAUUUAAUUUAUAUUAU